GACGAAGGAUGCAAGCGUUAUCCGGAUUCAUUGGUUUAAAGGGAGCGUAGGUGGCCUUAUAAGUCAGUGGUGAAAAUCUCUGGGCUUAACCCAGAAAUUGCCAUUGAUACUGUAGGGCUUGAGUAUAGUUGCCGUUGCGGAAUAUGACAUGUAGUGGUGAAAUACAUAGAGAUGUCAUAGAACACCGAAUUGCGAAGGCAGCUGACGAAACUAUA
rnacentral:rRNA from 1 species